GGAGAGGUGUCCGAGUGGCUAUAAGGAGCUGGUCUUGAAAACCAGUGUCUCCGCAAGGGGCCGUGGGUUCGAAUCCCACCCUCUCCG
rnacentral:tRNA from 1 species